ACGAACGCUGGCGGCGUGCCUAAUACAUGCCAGUUGAGCGCUGAAGGUUGGUACUUGUACCAACUGGAUGAGCAGCGAACGGGUGAGUAACGCGUGGGGAAUCUGCCUUUGAGCGGGGGACAACAUUUGGAAACGAAUGCUAAUACCGCAUAAAAACUUUAAACACAAGUUUUAAGUUUGAAAGAUGCAAUUGCAUCACUCAAAGAUGAUCCCGCGUUGUAUUAGCUAGUUGGUGAGGUAAAGGCUCACCAAGGCGAUGAUACAUAGCCGACCUGAGAGGGUGAUAGGCCACAUUGGGACUGAGACACGGCCCAAACUCCUACGGGAGGCAGCAGUAGGGAAUCUUCGGCAAUGGACGAAAGUCUGACCGAGCAACGCCGCGUGAGUGAAGAAGGUUUUCGGAUCGUAAAACUCUGUUGGUAGAGAAGAACGUUGGUGAGAGUGGAAAGCUCAUCAAGUGACGGUAACUACCCAGAAAGGGACGGCUAACUACGUG
rnacentral:rRNA from 1 species